rnacentral:rRNA from 1 species
AACGAACGCUGGCGGCAUGCCUAACACAUGCAAGUCGAACGAUCCCUUCGGGGAUAGUUGCGCACGCGUGCGUCACGCGUGGGAACCUGCCCUUAGGUUCGGAAUAACUCAGAGAAAUUUGAGCUAAUACCGGAUAAUGUCUUCGGACCAAAGAUUUAUCGCCUUUGGUUGGGCCGGCGUUGGUUUAGCUAGUUGGUGGUGUAAAGGCCUACCACGGCUACGAUCCCUAGCUGGUCUGAGAGAAUGAGCCGCCACACUGGGACUGAGCCACGGCCGAGAAUACUACGCGAGGGAGGAGAGGGUAAUAUUGGAAAAUGGCCGGAAGGCUGAACCAGCAAGGGUGGGAGAGUGAUGAAGGCGGUAGAGUAGUAAAGCUCUUUUAUCCGGGAUGAUAAUGACGGUACCGGGAGAAUAAGCCCCGGCUAACUUCGUG